GACGAACGCUGGCGGCGUGCUUAACACAUGCAAGUCGAACGGAAAGGCCCUGCUUUUGUGGGGUGCUCGAGUGGCGAACGGGUGAGUAACACGUGAGUAACCUGCCCUUGACUUUGGGAUAACUUCAGGAAACUGGGGCUAAUACCGGAUAGGAGCUCCUGCUGCAUGGUGGGGGUUGGAAAGUUUCGGCGGUUGGGGAUGGACUCGCGGCUUAUCAGCUUGUUGGUGGGGUAGUGGCUUACCAAGGCUUUGACGGGUAGCCGGCCUGAGAGGGUGACCGGCCACAUUGGGACGGAGAUACGGCCCAGACUCCUACGGGAGGCAGCAGUGGGGAAUAUUGCACAAUGGGCGGAAGCCUGAUGCAGAAACGCCGCGUGCGGGAUGACGGCCUUCGGGUUGUAAACCGCUUUCGCCUGUGACGAAGCGUGAGUGACGGUAAUGGGUAAAGAAGCACCGGCUAACUACGU
rnacentral:rRNA from 1 species